GAUUAACGCUAGCGGCAGGCCUAAUACAUGCAAGUUGAACGGCAGCACAGGUAGCACUACUGGGUGGCGAGUGGCGCACGGGUGCGUAACACGUAUGCAACCUACCCUAUACAGGCGAAUAACCUUUAGAAAUGAGGGCUAAUACGCCGUAGUAUUACAGAUGGGCAUCUAUUUGUAAUUAAAGAUUUAUCGGUAUAGGAUGGGCAUGCGUCCCAUUAGUUAGUUGGUAAGGUAACGGCUUACCAAGACGAUGAUGGGUAGGGGAUCUGAGAGGACUUACCCCCACACUGGUACUGAGACACGGACCAGACUCCUACGGGAGGCAGCAGUAAGGAAUAUUGGGCAAUGGCCGCGAGGCUGACCCAGCCAUGCCGCGUGCAGGAAGACGGCCUUAUGGGUUGUAAACUGCUUUUAUACGGGAAUAAUAGAGUGUACGCGUACAUUUAUGCAAGUAUCGUAUGAAUAAGCAUCGGCUAACUCCGUG
rnacentral:rRNA from 1 species